CGCCCUGGGGGCAUGGGGUGGUGGGUGCAGGGCAGAUGCAGGCCUGGCCGCCCCAGCCUUGUCCCCCUACUGUCUCUGUAGUGGGUCACACUGUGAGUCACCCUCCUCCAAGGGCCCCACGUCUCGGGCAGACAGAGCCGGGGGCGAGGGGCCCCGGGGGCUGAGCCAGCUCUGACCUCCCCUGAGCACCUGCCUGCAGCCAGCCCCUCUGCCUGCCAACCACCGGCCCUCCGCAGUCCCUAUAUCCUCAAAUCCACCCCAUCCCCCACUUGGCUAUACUGGAAGUGGACACGCUUCUGUUACCCAAAUCCCAUCCUUCCAGCCUGAUAGGAAGGAACGCCCUGGCAGUGCUGUCUGGUGCUAGCCACAGCGACCCAGAGGCCAGGUGUCGGGGGCUGGGGCCGGUGAGGGCUCUGAGGGGCCGCCCAGUGCUCAGGAGCCAGGGCUCUGCUGCUACUAGGGCCUGAGUGGGGCUGCAGCCCCAGCCUUGGCACCUGGAACAAGGGACAGCCACACGUGCGCCUGUCUGAGUCUGGGGCAGGGCUUAUACAGGCCGGGCCCGGCCCUUGGCGUGUGUUCAGGGCCUGAUGCUACCACCCCUAGAAGUGAGGCAGGCACCAGGCAGGUUUGUGAGAACUACAUCCACAUUUCUGCCACAGCUGGAAGAGGACGCGCCAACCGGAGUCCCACCAGGGGCGGGGGUCUUAAGGAUGGAAUUCUGCAUCCUUGGCCCCUCCCAGAUGGAGCCCUGGACACUGCGGAGGCUGAGCCUCAGCAUUCCCCAUGCCCCAGAGCUGUGCUGUCCCCCAGGCUGGGAGCUGGGGCAGAAGUCAACUCCAGCCUACAUGGGCCCAGCAGCUACCUCCAGAUGCCCCAAAACAGGUGCAAAGGGAUACCCAGCUGCUCAUGAAAAUGAAUCCCAGAUGGAGACAAAGAGCCCUGCCUAGCCCUGGCCUGGCGUGGCCGGAUGUCCCUUUCCACCUUCCUGCUCACAGAGGAGGCUGGGCAUCUGAGGCCUGAGGGGCCAGGCAGGAAGCCAUGGGCCACAAGGCACCCCUGGGCCCCCGCUCCCUGACUUCCUGCAUGGUAGAAGGCCCGUCCCGGGGCCAACUGCCUCUGCCACCACUGCCUGGAUGAGUGAGGGCAGGAGGUGGAAGGGUGAGGUGGGGCCCUGACCCUCAGGAAGAGGGGUCCUGGACUCAGUUUCCCUCCCUGUCCUGAGGCUGCUGCCUUCUAGCCAGAUCCUGGCUUCCAGGGGCCCUGUCCUGCCCAGCAGUUCCCACAGUGCUGGCUGGUUCUCAAAGGGAGACCCCAGGAGACCCCCCCAGGAGACACCUGGGCAGGGCAGGGGCAGCUCUGGGGGGGGCAGCCAUAUGGUGACCCCUCCACUGCCCACAGCCACACAGCCCCUCCCCGUAACCUUCUCUGCAUUUGCUAAUGUUUUGUGACAUAAAGCCCUGAGAU